CCAGGUGGUCACACUCCUCAGGGCGCUGGCCCAUCCCAGCCCCAGAGCUUCAGUCCGAUGGGCUCCGUCAUCACUCUCCGGCUGAUGGGGGAUCAGGCGUGGACUUCAGACCCGAUUCUGGAUGAGGAGAUGUGGGCGUGGGGAGGGGCCAGUCAGAGAAGCCCCAGAAGAUCUCCUCAUUGUUCCAAAGCUUCAGAUACGAUUGAGUGAGAAUAAGAAUGAUAGCCGCAAUGAAUCGUAACACCGCCACUGUGUCUACAUCCAUGAGUUCAUAAGAAAACAAAAAGAUAAUUGGUCAACUUCGGCUGCAGCUGGAGAACCACCUCAUUACUCUGAACACGGAUAAGUAAAGGAUAAAAAUGAAGCCUUUACUGACUUCUCUAUGCAAACCGUCCCUCAGGGCAGCUAAGUUGGUCUCCUGGGCAGAGAGCCACUUCCCACUUCCUAGGGCAUUGUCCCGGCUGGAGCUGCAGCUGUGGUCUUGCUCUAGUUCUAGGAUGAAGCAAAGCCACGGGGGAAGGUGAGGUAGGAUGGAGAAAGGACUCGGGGUUCCAGUGCACCCCUGAACCGGCACAGCCUCCCGGCCCUCCUGCUGGGAGUUGGGGGAUUGCUUCUAAUGGACAAUGGAUGGACUGUGUCUGAUGUCACCCCAUACACGUGGAACAGGGCAGCUGUCUUGUGUUCCCAGCCUCUGGUAAGCUCCUUGAGGGCACAGACGCUGUCUGGUUCAUCUCUGCACCCCUGACAGUGCCCCGCUGGGUGCCUGGCGCGGUGCCCACUGCUUAGUAGACCCUGGAGUUGUUGGGGAGAAGGCGCUUGGGCCAUGGUAGCAGCAGGUGGAGGCUGGGCUUGUGUCCAGUGUUCAGGAAACUCGGAAACCUCCAAAUGUGUGACCCCGAUGGGAUUUUGAUUUCUUCCCAUCUCUUGAGCCUAAGGCACAAUUGUUGGGAACCUCCAAAACCCACUGCUUAGGGAAAAGCCCGCAUCCAAAUUUCUGCUAAGCAGGAGGGGAAGGUGCCGGGGUGGGUGUGGUCUCGCAGUGCCUGUCCCCUGCUGCUCUGGCUUGCUGCCCUCAUCCCUGUGGCCGCUUCUUCCCCAGCAUCCUCAACAGCACGUGUGCUCACAGCCCGGACCCCGCCCUGAUGGUCUGACUGCACGGCUCCCGCGUCCUGACUUCCUCCCACUCUCCCCUUGUGCGGAGCACCUCUGCCCACGCCCAGUGCCCGGUGCUUGCCCACAGCGGAAGCCCCGCCCUGGAGCUCACCACACCCCAGCCCUGACCCUACAGCAGCCCCCACCAGUGAGUUCUGCCAUUAGAGUCAGAAUGUCUCUUCCCUCUCGUGUGACAGGUUUGCAUGCUACUCAGAAUUUAGUUCUCCAAGGACCCCUGAAUCACAGUCAGGGCCAGGCCCAGAGCAGGCCCAAAGCUGAAGAAGGUGCUCACCCUCAGGGCUCUCAGAGACAAGGGGGAAGAGUCCGGGGGGCUUUUGAGAGGCACCAAGUUCAAGUCUGUGUCGCCCACGCAAGGCUCCUUCUCUCUCCAACCUCUUCACCCCAGGGACUCUGGAAUCCUGCCUUCCACACCCCACAUGGCUAGAACCACUAGUGCAGGAACAUGCAACUCCGCAAUCAGCCUGCCUGCCCCUCACCUGCACACACCUCUGCUGCACCUCCACACUCAGCCUACCUGUGCUCACCUGGGCAGCAGCUCCAUACUCAGCCUGCCUGCCCCUCACCUGCACGCACCUGCUCCUCACCUGUGCUCACCUGGGCUGGAGUUUAGCCUUUCCUUCUGCAGCCUCUGAGGUGUGGAAAGUCACAUUGCUCCUCACAGAGCCCCCAAAACAAGACAGACACAAACCAAAGACAAAAAGCAAAUGUUUGGUUUUUAAACUAGCUUAAUAAUCUGCUCAACUGGCCUCUCCUCUCUGAACUGUGUUGGGGAUCCUGGUGGAAGAACUGAG
rnacentral:lncRNA from 1 species